CUACGGGAGGCAGCAGUGGGGAAUAUUGCACAAUGGGCGCAAGCCUGAUGCAGCCAUGCCGCGUGUAUGAAGAAGGCCUUCGGGUUGUAAAGUACUUUCAGCGGGGAGGAAGGGAGUAAAGUUAAUACCUUUGCUCAUUGACGUUACCCGCAGAAGAAGCACCGGCUAACUCCGUGCCAGCAGCCGCGGUAAUACGGAGGGUGCAAGCGUUGAUCGGAAUUACUGGGCGUAAAGCGCACGCAGGCGGUUUGUUAAGUCAGAUGUGAAAUCCCCGGGCUCAACCUGGGAACUGCAUCUGAUACUGGCAAGCUUGAGUCUCGUAGAGGGGGGUAGAAUUCCAGGUGUAGCGGUGAAAUGCGUAGAGAUCUGGAGGAAUACCGGUGGCGAAGGCGGCCCCCUGGACGAAGACUGACGCUCAGGUGCGAAAGCGUGGGGAGCAAACAGGAUUAGAUACCCUAGUAAUC
rnacentral:rRNA from 1 species